rnacentral:rRNA from 1 species
GAUGAACGCUGGCGGCGUGCCUAAUACAUGCAAGUCGAGCGAACAGACGAGGCGCUUGCUCCUCUGACGUUACCGGCGGACGGGUGAGUAACACGUGUAUAACCUACCUAUAAGACUGGGAUAACUUCGGGAAACCUGAGCUAAUACCGGAUAAUAUAUUGAACCGCAGGGUUCAUUAGUGAAAGACGGUUUUGCUGUGACUUAUAGAUGGAUCCAGGCCGCAUUGGUUAGUGGGUAGGGUAACGGCUGACCAUGGCGACGAUGCGUAACUGAUCUGAGAGGAGGAUCAGGCACACUGGAACUGAGACACGGUCCAGACUCCUACGGGAGGCAGCAGUGGGGAAUAUUGGACAAUGGGCGAAAGCCUGAUCCAGCCAUGCCGCGUGUGUGAAGAAGGUCUUCGGAUUUUAAAGCACUUUAAGUUGGGAGGAAGGGCAGUAAGUUAAUACCUUGCUGUUUUGACGUUACCAACAGAAUAAGCACCGGCUAACUUCGUG